CUGACAUACAUUCCCUGCCGGAUCGUUAGCCAUGAACAUUACUCACCCGGAUCAUUUACCCCAUUCCCGCCUGGUCGUCGGAGGAUUCCGCUUCCCCAUUGGAUCCACCUAUUUACUCCCAUCAACUCACCACCGCUGCCCGCUACACCACCUGGAUAUAUCUACCCAUUCACAUUCACUUUAUUUAACAGCGGUACACAAUAGGAGAGAGACAGAUGGUAUCUCCUUUCGUCGUUAAUAUCAACCAUAAAGGAAAACGGCAAAGUACGAGAGUCAUGCUAUUAAUUGUCCAAAGCAGGGAUGGAGAGUGAGCUAGUGAGGUAGGCUGCAGUGGGUUUGCUGGUCAAGACAUAUACUGAACAUGUAACCACAGUAAUGGUGGCCAGUAAAUCAAUGAUUAAAAAUGUAAUAUUGACAAAUUAAACAAAUUGUAGACCUUUAUUCUUUUCCAACAUGUCAACAGACACUUCAGAUAAGUAUGAAACAUUUCACAAUGUUAACUUUCUCUUUAUCCAUGGUUGAUGUACAUUUCAGGGCCUCUUCAGUGUGGGUGGGGUAUAGCAUACAUUUUCAACAACAAAGACUGCACUUCCAGUUUAAUUAUUUUUUCUUCAAUCCCAGUUACAGCACAUGGAACCACCGUUGGCAUGCAAAACAUUCAAUCUUAAACAAAACAAAGCAUAACACGUUAUAAUUUAUAUCAAAUAUCAAUGCAGAAUGAUGAAUUAGCCAUCCAUUGUGUUAUAUCAUAAAUUGUCUUG
ensembl:lncRNA